rfam:Picea glauca, whole genome shotgun sequence.
UAAUGUAAUUCCUUCAACGAUAAUGCAUUGGAUCCCAUUAUAACUUCACAGUUAAGUGUGCAUGAGAUAGAGUCGUAUUGGGAUGGGUGACCUCCUGAAAAGUCCUAUUUUUUUACAUGGC